rnacentral:rRNA from 1 species
GUAGGUGGCAAGCGUUAUCCGGAUUUAUUGGGCGUAAAGAGAGUGCAGGCGGUUUUCUAAGUCUGAUGUGAAAGCCUUCGGCUUAACCGGAGAAGUGCAUCGGAAACUGGAUAACUUGAGUGCAGAAGAGGGUAGUGGAACUCCAUGUGUAGCGGUGGAAUGCGUAGAUAUAUGGAAGAACACCAGUGGCGAAGGCGGCUACCUGGUCUGCAACUGACGCUGAGACUCGAAAGCAUGGGUAGCGAACAGGAUUAGAUACCCUGGUAGUCCAUGCCGUAAACGAUGAGUGCUAGGUGUUGGAGGGUUUCCGCCCUUCAGUGCCGGAGCUAACGCAUUAAGCACUCCGCCUGGGGAGUACGACCGCARGGUUG